rnacentral:rRNA from 1 species
GACGAACGCUGGCGGCGUGCUUAACACAUGCAAGUCGAACGGAAAGGCCCUGCUUUUGUGGGGUGCUCGAGUGGCGAACGGGUGAGUAACACGUGAGUAACCUGCCCUUGACUUUGGGAUAACUUCAGGAAACUGGGGCUAAUACCGGAUAGGAGCUCCUGCUGCAUGGUGGGGGUUGGAAAGUUUCGGCGGUUGGGGAUGGACUCGCGGCUUAUCAGCUCGUUGGUGGGGUAGUGGCUUACCAAGGCUUUGACGGGUAGCCGGCCUGAGAGGGUGACCGGCCACAUUGGGACUGAGAUACGGCCCAGACUCCUACGGGAGGCAGCAGUGGGGAAUAUUGCACAAUGAGCGGAAGCCUGAUGCAGCAACGCCGCGUGCGGGAUGACGGCCUUCGGGUUGUAAACCGCUUUCGCCUGUGACGAAGCGUGAGUGACGGUAAUGGGUAAAGAAGCACCGGCUAACUACGUG